CCUGGGGGACAGCACCUGGUCCUGGGGCUGGCAUGGGCUGAGUCAUUGGCACAGUAUAGCGGGGACGUGGGUCUGUGAAGGGAAGGGUGUUGCACACUGGGCGGCCACACUCAGUGUGGGUCUCACGUGUGUGAGGGGGAAAUGAUAAGCUGGAGGCUGCACCCUGGUUGCUCUGGAACCAGGGUUGGGCCUGGGGCCAGGCCUUCCCCUACCCUGUCCUGGUCUACCAGUUCUUGAAGGGCGUCUGCCCACCAUGGCUGUGGGGCCCCUCAGAUCUCAUCAGACACCCGGGGAACUGAGCCUACCUCCUGCUCGCCUUUUCCUCCCCUCUAGCCCCAGGGCUGCCCAAAUCACACUUUGAGGCCUCCAACCUUUAGGGUUGCCUCCCUUGGAGGUUCCUGGCUCUUUCUAUGGAACUUCAUGUCCAGUUCCAGCUGGGGCUCUUUGAAACCCUGUCUGGCCUUUUUUUCCCAGGGAGCUGGCUCCUGCCUCUGUCCCCUGCUGACCCAACUCCCCUGUCUAUGGAGACUCCCCUCUGGCCUGUGGGGAUGCAGGCUGGAAGCCCUCUUGUGGUAGCAGAGCCUGAGCCCAGGGCCGAGGGCCAGGAGGGGUGGAGGUGGUCCCAGGAGGAGGGCAGCAGAGAUGAGGAGCAGGGAGAGGGAGCCAGGCCCACAGCAAGAGCCAGCAAGAGCCUGUGACCCUGAGGAUGUUACGGUAGCUUGACUCCCGGGGGCUCUGGGUAGGGCAUACGGUGCCUUUGAGAGUGUCCUUUCAAAGGACAGGGAAUUGGGGCAUUUAUCACCUGGGUUUCUCCCCCACUGGUGGAGCUCACCCCCAGGGGUGUUAAUGCCACCCUCCUCCUGGCAGACCCUGCAGUGGGCAGAAGUGACAACUGGUGCUGUUGUUUAGGGAACAAGCCCUGAGUCAGAAAAAUAGAGACAAGGGCAGGCUCUGGUUUGAGGUGGGAAACAGCUGCCUACUGUGGAAUCAUCCACCAUUGUUGCAGUCUAGGUGGCCAAGAGAUGUCACCAAGGUGCCAACAGCCAUGUUGUUCUCGUCUCAUACUUGUGCCAUCAUCCUGUCUCUCAUGGGUGGUGAACAUCCUUUAAAACCUCACAUACGAGGUGGUUCUCAGCUGUCCACCCAUACCUGAAGGGGCUUAGAGGCUCCCUACACUCAGGGAACUGACUUUGGUUGGGCUACUUAUUGGGGGACACCCGAUGUCCAUUUCUUUGGUCAUUUCUCUUGGGCUGGUCAGAUGCUCCAGAGAAAACUUUUCUGUCUCCAUGACUCUGCCUGAAUGUUUUAUGGCUGGAAUGGAAUGGCACGCAGCCUUUCCAGAUUGGCUUCUUGCAGUUAAUAAUACGCGUAUAAAUUCCUUCGUGUCUUUUCAUGGCUUGACAGCUCAUUUCUUUGUAGCAUGGCAUAAUAAUCCAUUGUCUGAUGUAUUACGAUUUAGUUAUCCAUUCACCGGCCGAAGGACAUCUUGUUUGCUUCCAGAUUUUGG
rnacentral:lncRNA from 1 species